AAAUAUGCUUACCCCAUUUUGGUUGCCGAACCACAACUUUUUGUAAUCGGACAUCAUUCAAAUCUAUUGCACCAUUUAUGCUGCACUAUGAUCCAAUCAAUUUUACUAGAAACAAAACAUCUGUACUAUCAGAAUAUAUUUCAACAUGUCUGUAUUCACAUUUGAAAAUAUAGCAAAUACGUUAAAUAUCAAAUGUUAUAAUGGGCUGCACAAAUUGAAUAUAGACUUCUAUUUACUACAUAUACUAAUUCAUAAAACAAAAUGGCAGUUUUGCGGAGAGUUAUAUAUUGACUUAAGCUCCCAUUUUUGUAUGGAUGAAUAUCUCUACCUUUCGUUUUUGUAAGCUGUUUAAGACCAAACAGGCCGCCCUGCCGGACUGUCUGCUUCACAUUACUCUCAGUCUUGCUAUACUUGUAAAGCUUUUGCAUUUAAUGAAUUUACUUUACACAUCACAAUGUGUCAGUUUUUGUUGUUUUAUUUUUGUAGUACCAAUUGUAGUUUGUGCUCAAACAUCGCAAUCAGUUCGAUAUGUUAGUAUGCUCAGUGCACUGGACAUGCUGCAGUUAAAGAGAUGACGAGUUGCUUGAUUGAUUGUUGUGCAUUGGAGUGGUUUGGGGCAUAAGUUGUGAAUGAGAUAAUCUACAAUCUGUAACAUCCGGAAAAUAAGGCACAAGACAAUUUGCAUCUAGUUCGACUAGAAAUUUACAAUUUUGCAACAAAUUUUUCCAUACAGAAACAACAAGUAACUUUCAAAAAAAAAAAAAA